rnacentral:tRNA from 1 species
GAACCAGUGCAGUAUAGUGGUUAAGAAUGUCUGGCUAAAAUCUGGGAAACCUGGGUUCAAAUCCCUGCUGGUACU